rfam:Hordeum vulgare subsp. vulgare, WGS project CAJW01000000 data, contig: morex_contig_170044
CUUCUACUCCCUCCGUCCGGAAUUACUUGUCACAAAAGUGGAUAAUAAUGGAUGUAUCUAGAAAUAAAAUAGAUCUAGUUACAUCCAUUCCUCCAACAAGUAUUUCCGGACGAAGGGAGUAUUUA